rnacentral:lncRNA from 1 species
GGCGCAGGCGCUGCGCGGCGGCCUCCUCGGCUGCCACCCUGCCGCUGUCCAGCUCCAGGCGCUGAGGCGGCCCGGGUUGGUCCAGGGACCCGCCGUCCUUACGGGGUGCCGUGGCGGGUCUCCUCCUGGGUGCCUACAGUGACUCCGAGUGGGGCUGUGAGUGGGUCAGAUGGCAGGCCUGCCCCUGCUGUGUGCACCCAGCUCCGCGUGCCUGUGCUGAGGGACCCAGGCCAGAGGCCCUGCUCCCUGUCCAGUCUCACGCAUAAAGUAAGCUGCUGAGCUGCGGACAGAAGCUGAGAUUGCCUUGUUCCAUGAUGCUGUAAAGAUGCUGCUCUGUGCCGGGUGCUGGUCCCCAGCGUUGCCUCCGCUCAGCACCCAGCAGCCCCACAAGGGUGUCAACAGAGCAUCAGGAGGCACUGACCCCAGAGCCCCUCCACGUCCCCGGGAACGGCCGGCCCCCCGUCGCCGCCGAGGGCCCUCGACCAGGAUGGACAGCCAGGGGAAGGCUGCUUGUCUCCACGCCUCUCCGACGGCUCUUCUUCCGGCCCCUCCAGCCCAGGUGGAAUCCUUGAAGCUGGAGUCAGGACUGCCGGGCUUGCGGAGACGUGGGCUCCCCAGGAAGUGCUGAGCCCAUGAUCAGAGCUGCACCCCCACAAGAAGUCACCAUGUGGAUCCCCAGAGGGGAUACUCCGGAAGUGCUUCCAUUCGGCCACCAGCAGCUGUGAUGUCCCCUGACCGUGCAUCCUGGGUCCCAGGGGAUGGUGGGUAGGGGAGCCAGGCGAGGAAGUGAGUCACAGCCCUGUGGGGUGAGCUCCCCGAGGGGAAGGGAUUGCGUAGAGUACUUGGGGGAAUUUGUGAGCCUUCAAGCUGGCCUCUGCUGCGACAGGGGCCAGCAGCCUCGUCCGCUCUGUAGUCCACUCCGGCUGCUCCCUGUAGCCAGGGGUGCGGCAUGGCAGGAACAGGCCACAGGGCAAGGGAGGAGUGUGGUGGGCUCAGAAGGCUCUGGGGAGAGGGUGCCUUGCUCCUGGUGCUGAAAGGACAGCGCCCGGCUUGGGCAGAGGCCGCGCCAAGUCCUGGCGGAAGCUUUUCCGCAAACUGGAGUGGGGCGUCAUGUGCAUCUGAAUUUUUCCACUCCUCUUCUCUGGAGCCUGUCAGUGCCGUCUUGGCAAAGAUGGUUUGAGCCUGAAAGCUUUUCCCAUCUAUUUUUAAAUAAAUGGAAUUCCUGUCACUUGCAUGAAAUUCAC